ACAAUAUCAUUGAUGAAGAGAGUAGCAAUUAUUUCUUUUUCAGCGAACUGGGGAUGGUGGAAGCCCGGUGAAGAAUACUUGUGAACCGCACUUCGGAGAUGCUUUUCCAAGCUUUUUAGGAAAAGCCGGUGUCUCGCCGUUAUGAGGAAGUGGCCCUAUACGGGCAAUUUGAGUGGUACCGCGGAAGUAAGCUUUCGUCUCAUUA
rnacentral:ncRNA from 1 species